rnacentral:rRNA from 1 species
GGGCCCGCACAAGCGGUGGAGCAUGUGGUUUAAUUCGAUGAUACGCGAGGAACCUUACCAGGGCUUAAAUGUAAGUUGCAUUAGUUAGAGAUAACUAUUUCUUCGGACCACUUACAAGGUGCUGCAUGGUUGUCGUCAGCUCGUGCCGUGAGGUGUCAGGUUAAGUCCUAUAACGAGCGCAACCCCUGUUGUUAGUUGCCAGCGAUUCAAGUCGGGAACUCUAACAAGACUGCCGGUGCAAACCGUGAGGAAGGUGGGGAUGACGUCAAAUCAUCACGGCCCUUACGUCCUGGGCUACACACGUGCUACAAUGGUAGGGACAGAGAGCAGCCACUACGCGAGUAGGAGCGAAUCUAUAAACCCUAUCACAGUUCGGAUCGGAGUCUGCAACUCGACUCCGUG